AUAUCAAUAAGCGGAGGAAAAGAAACCAACAGGGAUUGCCCCAGUAACGGCGAGUGAAGCGGCAACAGCUCAAAUUUGAAAUCUGGCCCCUCUAGGGCCCGAGUUGUAAUUUGCAGAGGAUGCUUCUGGCGAGGUGCCUUCCGAGUUCCCUGGAACGGGACGCCACAGAGGGUGAGAGCCCCGUCUGGUUGGACGCCGAGCCUCUAUGAAGCUCCUUCGACGAGUCGAGUAGUUUGGGAAUGCUGCUCUAAAUGGGAGGUAUAUGUCUUCUAAAGCUAAAUACCGGCCAGAGACCGAUAGCGCACAAGUAGAGUGAUCGAAAGAUGAAAAGCACUUUGAAAAGAGGGUUAAACAGUACGUGAAAUUGUUGAAAGGGAAGCGCUCAUGACCAGACUUGGGCCCGGCGAAUCAUCCAGCGUUCUCGCUGGUGCACUUCUCCGGGCUCAGGCCAGCAUCAGUUCGCCCCGGGGGAUAAAGGCUUCGGGAAUGUGGCUCCUCCGGGAGUGUUAUAGCCCGUUGCAUAAUACCCUGGGGCGGACUGAGGUUCGCGCAUCUGCUAGGAUGCUGGCGUAAUGGUUAUCAGCGACCCGUCUUGAAACACGGACCAAGGAGUCGUCUUCGUAUGCGAGUGUUCGGGUGUAAAACCCCUACGCGGAAUGAAAGUGAACGCAGGUGAGAGCUUCGGCGCAUCAUCGACCGAUCCUGAUGUUCUCGGAUGGAUUUGAGUAAGAGCAUACGGGGCCGGACCCGAAAGAAGGUGAACUAUGCCUGUAUAGGGUGAAGCCAGAGGAAACUCUGGUGGAGGCUCGCAGCGGUUCUGACGUGCAAAUCGAUCGUCAAAUAUGGGCAUGGGGGCGAAAGACUAAUCGAACCUUCUAGUAGCUGGUUUCCGCCGAAGUUUCCCUCAGGAUAGCAGUGUUGAUCUCAGUUUUAUGAGGUAAAGCGAAUGAUUAGGGACCCGGGGGCGCUAUAUAGCCUUCAUCCAUUCUCAAACUUUAAAUAUGUAAGAAGCCCUUGUUACUUAACUGAACGUGGGCAUUCGAAUGUAUCAGCACUAGUGGGCCAUUUUUGGUAAGCAGAACUGGCGAUGCGGGAUGAACCGAACGCGACGUUAAGGUGCCAGAGUAGACGCUCAUCAGACACCACAAAAGGUGUUAGUACAUCUUGACAGCAGGACGGUGGCCAUGGAAGUCGGAAUCCGCUAAGGACUGUGUAACAACUCACCUGCCGAAUGUACUAGCCCUGAAAAUGGAUGGCGCUCAAGCGUCUCACCCAUACCUCGCCCUCAGGGUAGAAACGAAGCCCUGAGGAGUAGGCGGACGUGGAGGUCAGUGACGAAGC
rnacentral:rRNA from 1 species